rnacentral:rRNA from 1 species
GGCGAACGGGUGAGUAACACGUGGGCAAUCUGCCCUUCACUCUGGGACAAGCCCUGGAAACGGGGUCUAAUACCGGAUAUCACUUCCACUCGCAUGGGUGGGGGUUGAAAGCUCCGGCGGUGAAGGAUGAGCCCGCGGCCUAUCAGCUUGUUGGUGAGGUAAUGGCUCACCAAGGCGACGACGGGUAGCCGGCCUGAGAGGGCGACCGGCCACACUGGGACUGAGACACGGCCCAGACUCCUACGGGAGGCAGCAGUGGGGAAUAUUGCACAAUGGGCGAAAGCCUGAUGCAGCGACGCCGCGUGAGGGAUGACGGCCUUCGGGUUGUAAACCUCUUUCAGCAGGGAAGAAGCGAAAGUGACGGUACCUGCAGAAGAAGCGCCGGCUAACUACGUGCCAGCAGCCGCGGUAAUACGUAGGGCGCAAGCGUUGUCCGGAAUUAUGGGCGUUAAGGAGCUCGUAGGCGCCUUGUCAGUCGGGUGUAAAGCCCGGGCCUAACC